UACGAAGGGGCUAGCGUUGUUCGGAAUUACUGGGCGUAAAGCGCACGUAGGCGGAUUUUUAAGUCAGGGGUGAAAUCCUGGAGCUCAACUCCAGAACUGCCUUUGAUACUGGGAAUCUCGAGUCCGGAAGAGGUGAGUGGAACUGCGAGUGUAGAGGUGAAAUUCGUAGAUAUUCGCAAGAACACCAGUGGCGAAGGCGGACUCACUGGUCCGGUACUGACGCUGAGGUGCGAAAGCGUGGGGAGCAACAGG
rnacentral:rRNA from 1 species